rfam:Desulfotomaculum australicum DSM 11792 genome assembly, contig: EJ60DRAFT_scaffold00004.4
UGAGUAAACCGGGUGAUCGCGGGCACCUUGCAGGUGCCUGAGGAAAGUCCGAGCUCCACAGGGCAGGGUGCUGGGUAACACCCAGUGGGGGCGACCCCAAGGAAAGUGCCACAGAAAUGCAGACCGCCCGGCACUUUAGCCGCUGGGCUGUGUGCCGGGCAAGGGUGGAACGGUGCGGUAAGAGCGCACCAGCGGCCACGGCGACGGGCCGGCUAGGUAAACCCCACCUGGAGCAAGACCGAAUAGGGGGACAAUGGGGUGGCCCGCUCCGUCCCCGGGUAAAGGUCGCUAGAGGCGUCAGGCAACUGGCGUCCCAGAUAGAUGAUCACCCAAGACAGAACUCGGCUUACAGGUUUGCUCACAGC